UACGGAGGGUGCUAGCGUUAUCCGGAUUCACUGGGUUUAAAGGGUGCGUAGGCGGGUUUUUAAGUCAGCGGUGAAAGCUCCGGGCUCAACUCGGAAAUUGCCGUUGAUACUAUUAAUCUUGAAUUUAGUUGAGGUGGGCGGAAUGUGUAGUGUAGCGGUGAAAUGCUUAGAUAUUACACAGAACACCUAUUGCGAAGGCAGCUCGCUAAACUAAUAUUGACGCUGAGGCACGAAAGCGUGGGGAUCAAACAGG
rnacentral:rRNA from 1 species